UUUUUUUUUUUGGUAGAGAUGGGGAAGGGGGUCUUGCUAUGUUGCCCAGGCUGGUGUUUUAUUUUAAAAAAUCCAAUCUUUUAUUUGAGGUAUUAGUCUGUCCUUGCAUUGCUAUAGGAACUACCUGAGACUGGGUAAUUUAUGAAGAAAAGAAGUUUAAUUGACUCACAGUUCUGCAGGCUAUACAGGAAGCAUGGCUGGGGAAGCCUCAGGAAACUUACAAUCAUGGGGGAAGGUGAAGGGGAAGCAGGCAAAUCUUCCAUGGCAGAGCAGGAGACAGAGAAGGGAGAAGAGUUAGAUGCUUUUAAACAACCACAUUUUGUGAGAACUCACCAUCACGAGGACAGCAAGGGGAAGUCUGCCCUCAUGAUCCAAUCACCUCCCCGCUGACCUCUCCUCCAAUAAUGGGGAAUACAAUUAGACAUGAGAUUUGGGUGGAGAUACAGAGCCAAACCAUAUAAAGGCGUUUAGACCAUUUACAAUACAAUUGUUGACAUGGUUUGGUCUAUGUCUUUCUGAUGGAUUGACUUCUUUAUAUCAUUAAGUGUACAUCUUUAUCUCUAAUAAUGUUUUCUGGUCUUAAAGUCUACUUUGUCUGAUAUAGUAUAGUUACAUCAACUGAUAUCUUUAUUUUUAUUUUUUUUAUUGAAACGGGGUCUCACUCUGUCACCUAGGCUGGAGUGCAGUGGCAUGAUCUCGGCUCACUGCAACUUCCGCCUCCUGCGUUCAAGCGACUCUCUUGCCUCAGUCUCCUGAGUAGCUGGGAUUAUAGGCGUGCACCACGACACCUGGCUAAUUUUUGUAUUUUUAGCAGAGAUGGGGUUUUACCAUGUUGGCUAGGCUGGUUGAACUCCUGACCUCAAGUGAUUCGCCUGCCUUGGCCUCCCAAAGUGCUGGGAUUACAGGCAUAAACCACCACGCCCAGCCUCACUAGUUUUAUUAUCCACUGAUGCAACUUGCUUGAGACAAUUUUACUAUGGUGGUUAUCAAAUGGUGAUUUUCUAAUUCUGUAAUUCCUUCUGUGUUCAUUAGUUUGAGGUCUAUGGGAUGUAGUGUUGAUAGGGUUCUGUCUACUUCACUUGCCUCUGUUCUGAGGGCCUAGCUCUCCAAGUCUUUCAACUGAAAUCCCGUAGUAUUCCCCAGGUUCCUUCCUUUUGAGAUAUCUUGAAAACUAUCUACUCAGCACUGUGACUCUGCAAAAUUCUGCUCUGCUUUAGAGAGGUCUAGGCUUAGUGUUUUGAGUUCGCGUCUUGUACAUUCAGCUUUCACCAGAUGGCUUGAGACCUAGCCAUCUAUUUGAGGCCAUUCAAGCCUCCAAAUUUUGUCACUGCAGCUGGUGCGACUAUAAAAACAUAAAAAACCUGGAUCCUCAGCCUCUGGCCAGAGUUGGCAAAUUCAAGUGGCUGCAGGCUGUCAGCACUCCUGUCUACAAUCCUGACCCUUGAGUUACUGUUGCGUCUGCAACUCACUUAAACAAAAACCUCGCCUCUGGCUUCCAUUUUCUUUUGUAAAUCUCCAUCUUAAGAAAUUCACAGGCAGGGCGAGGUGGCUCACGCCUGUAAUCUCAGCACUUUGGGAGGCUGAGGAAGGAGGAUCACCUGAGGUCAGGAGUUCAAGACCAGCCUGGCCAACAUGGCAAAACCCCAUCUCUACUAAAAAUAUAAAAAUUACCCAGGAAUGGUGGCGGGUGCCUGUAAUCCCAGCUACUCGAGAGGCUGAGGCACAAGAAUCGCUAGAAUCCAGAAGGCGGAGGUUGCAGUGAGCUGAGAUCACGUUAUUGCACUCCAGCCUGGGCGACAGAGUAAAACCCUGUCUCAAAAAAAAAAAAAAAAAAAAAGAAAAAAAAAAAA
ensembl:lncRNA